UCUGCCUGUGUGAAUUAGUCGGCAUGAAAUUUGACUGUGUAAAUUUACCAGUUUGAAUUCGCCUGUGUGAAUUCCCCAGAAAAUGUUGAAUUUUGCCCCAAAUGUAAUGCGUCGUUAAAUUCAAUGCGCAUUCGAAUUCUGGAAACUUUAUUUUCCAAAAAAGGUGCGCAUUAGAUUUGAGUAAAUACUGUAAUCCACCUUCACUCAUGGAGGGCUGUUGCUGUAUUUGCCUCGUGGAAAGAAUCAGCCUAUGUAAAUGUUAUAAAUUCUAUCUGUAAUGAC